UUUUUUGUGGAGAGUUUGAUCCUGGCUCAGGACGAACGCUGGCGGCGUGCUUAACACAUGCAAGUCGAACGGAAAGGCCAGUGCUUGCACUGGUACUCGAGUGGCGAACGGGUGAGUAACACGUGGGUGAUCUGCCUUGCACUCUGGGAUAAGCUUGGGAAACUGGGUCUAAUACCGGAUAUGAACUGCCUUUAGUGUGGUGGUUGGAAAGUUUUUUCGGUGCAAGAUGAGCUCGCGGCCUA
rnacentral:rRNA from 1 species